UACGAAGGGGGCUAGCGUUGCUCGGAAUCACUGGGCGUAAAGCGCACGUAGGCGGCUUUCUAAGUCAGGGGUGAAAUCCUGGAGCUCAACUCCAGAACUGCCUUUGAUACUGGAGAGCUCGAGUCCGGAAGAGGUGAGUGGAACUCCGAGUGUAGAGGUGAAAUUCGUAGAUAUUCGGAAGAACACCAGUGGCGAAGGCGGCUCACUGGUCCGGUACUGACGCUGAUGUGCGAAAGCGUGGGGAUCAAACAGG
rnacentral:rRNA from 1 species